UACGUAGGGGGCAAGCGUUGUCCGGAAUCAUUGGGCGUAAAGAGCGUGUAGGCGGCCUCGUAAGUCUGCUGUGAAAGUCCAGGGCUCAACCCUGGGAUGUCAGUGGAUACUGUGAGGCUCGAGUCCGGAAGAGGCGGGUGGAAUUCCUGGUGUAGCGGUGAAAUGCGCAGAUAUCAGGAGGAACACCAAUGGCGAAGGCAGCCCGCUGGGACGUGACUGACGCUGAGACGCGAAAGCGUGGGGAGCAAACAGG
rnacentral:rRNA from 1 species